GUUAUAUAUUAGCAUAGAGAGAGUGUCAUUCAGAGCGAAGUGACGACACCAUCUUUUUUAUUUGGAUUAGUGCUGUUUCACUCUUACGCAUAGUAAAGCUGCUACAGUUGUCCUACUCUUCCGUGCCUAUGUUCACACUGAAUGUCAUCAUAGAUUUUUGAUACAAUGUGUUAGAAAGAGAUGCAGCAAACCAGUCCAUGAGAUCUUGUCGUCAGGAAGCGCGGAAGGUAGGCUCCCUCUAUGUUAAUAUAUACCUCUAUGGUUACACUUUUGAGUGAAGUGUAAAUUCUAUGGACAUUUGAGUGUAAAUUACAGCGGAUGUGACAGCGGCUCAUGACAGCGGACAGUAUUAAACGAAAAUUAUCGGUGUGCCAAUCAAGCAAAGGGACAAGGAACUUCCGAAUAUGGCCUAACUGGGGGCACAUAACAUAACCUAAUCCUAAUAUUUACAAAGAAUAUCCUGCUUGUUUUUAUUUUUUAUUGUCGAUUGUGCAGCGAAAUUGUGAUAGCAAAUCAAAUAUAAAGUAGUUUAUCGCCUACAGAACUGAAUUAGUCCAUAGCAGUUAUCAGUUUGCAAGUAGCAAGGGCUUUCUUGAUAAGCUUAUACAUGUAACUUGUAUUGUUGUAAAUUGUGGGAGUAGGGCAGAGAGGGAAAAGUCUUAUUUUGUACUGUUCCCAAGGCUCCCCAUGCAAUACAUUUAAAUGAAUUAUCCAAACAUAGCCGGGGACAAUGGAUAAAAGCAACAAGAACAGAUAUAAGGGAACUAAAAUUAAAAUAUGAAAAGUAAACAUUUUAUAAGUGGAACAACCACCAGAUAUUUAAAAGGUAUAAAAAGAAGAAACUGCUGGAAUUUCAAAACAAAUGUGUUUGACUAGUAAAGAUUUGGAUAAAUAACAGGAGUUACUUUGGGCUAUAGCUACGUGCAGAUUUAUUUCCUUGUGGCUUCCUAUGUUAAUUCUUAUUAAUUAUACACUUAAAUAUGUUUUUAGUCUCAGGAAGAUUUUAUAUUUGAUUAUUUUUGAAUAAACAUUAUUAUUAUUA